rnacentral:rRNA from 1 species
UACGUAGGGUGCGAGCGUUGUCCGGAAUUAUUGGGCGUAAAGGGCUCGUAGGCGGUCUGUCACGUCGGGAGUGAAAACACGGGGCUUAACCCCGUGCCUGCUUCCGAUACGGGCAGACUAGAGGUAUGCAGGGGAGAGCGGAAUUCCUGGUGUAGCGGUGAAAUGCGCAGAUAUCAGGAGGAACACCGGUGGCGAAGGCGGUUCUCUGGGCAUUGCCUGACGCUGAGGAGCGAAAGUGUGGGGAGCGAACAGG